AUUACUCCUUCCUUCUCUUCUCUUCAGAUCUCCUAUUUUCUCUUUCCGCCAUGGAAAUUCCUUCCACCACUCCCAAAACCGUCGAAGAAAUUUUCAAAGAUUACACUGCUCGCCGUGCCGCUCUUGUUCGCGCCCUUGCUCACGAUGUCGAUGAAUUCUACGGCCUUUGUGAUCCAGAUAAGGAAAAUUUGUGUCUAUAUGGACAUCCUAAUGAAACAUGGGAAGUGGUUCUUCCAGUAGAAGAGGUCCCACCGGAGCUUCCUGAGCCUGCCCUUGGAAUUAAUUUUGCAAGAGAUGGCAUGAACAGAAAAGAUUGGCUAUCUCUUGUUGCUGUACAUAGUGAUUCCUGGUUGCUCUCUGUGGCUUUCUAUUUUGGAGCAAGGCUUAACCGAAACGAAAGAAAGCGUUUAUUUAGCUUGAUGAAUGAUCUUCCCACUGUCUUUGAAGUUGUGACAGAACGGAAGCCUGUCAAAGAGAAGCCUAGUGUAGAUAGUGGAAGCAGAUCACAAGGAAGCUCUAAGAGAUCCAACGAUGGGCAGGUGAAAAUCAACCCAAAACUUGCCGAACAGAGUUGCGAGGAGGAUGUCGAUGAACACAGUGAAACCCUCUGUGGUAGCUGUGGUGAAAAUUACAGUGCAGAUGAGUUCUGGAUCGGCUGUGACAUCUGCGAAAGGUGGUACCACGGAAAGUGCGUAAGGAUAACACCUGCCAAGGCUGAUAGUAUCAAACAAUAUAAAUGUCCUUCUUGCAGCAUGAAGAAAGGCAGACAGUAGAAACUAAAAGGCAGACAAACAAAUGGCCGAAAAGAACGAACCCCUGGUGAUUUAAGAAAUUGACUAAUGGAGCAUAGUAAAAAUAUUUCUUAAUGUAUGUAUGAAUUUGUAGUUUAUAUGUUCAUAUUCUCAUGGGUAUGUUGGAUCCUGAAGGUUGACCUCUCGCAAGAGUCUCAACUAUAUCACUUUAUUUAAUUAUGAAGAAGAAGAAGAAGAAACCAUGAAAGUUAUUGGCAACACUUUCAAGGCUACAAAGUGAAGAUGUUAAGUGAGAAGUCGUGGUAAAAAGGCAGUGUUUGGGUCCAGCAAUACCAGCCAGUAGCUUCAAGACAUUGCUCUUCCCCAGCUACAGGUACGGCUCAUCAGCCAAACAACCACUAUCUUAUCAAUUAAAAAAAAAGGGACCCCCCCCAUUUAUUUACUUAUUUAUUUUAAUUAUUGUUAUUAUUAUUUUGUUAAUGGAUCGGAUACGUUGCUAAAUACUGGCCAACAAAUUAGUUGGUGGAGCCUAAA